CCUACGGGAGGCGGCAGUGAGGAAUAUUGGUCAAUGGGCGUAAGCCUGAACCAGCCAUCCCGCGUGCAGGAAGAAGGCGCUAUGCGUCGUAAACUGCUUUUCCAGGGGAAGAAAACCUGAUACGAGUAUCGGCUUGCCGGUACCCUGGAAUAAGCAUCGGCUAGCUCCGUGCCAGCAGCCGCGGUAAU
rnacentral:rRNA from 1 species